rnacentral:rRNA from 1 species
GACGAACGCUGGCGGCGUGCUUAACACAUGCAAGUCGAACGGAAAGGCCCUGCUUUUGUGGGGUGCUCGAGUGGCGAACGGGUGAGUAACACGUGAGUAACCUGCCCUUGACUUUGGGAUAACUUCAGGAAACUGGGGCUAAUACCGGAUAGGAGCUCCUGCUGCAUGGUGUGGGUUGGAAAGUUUCGGCGGUUGGGGAUGUACUCGCGGCUUAUCAGCUUGUUGGUGGGGUAGUGGCUUACCAAGUCUUUGACGGGUAGCCGGCCUGAGAGGUUGACCGGCCACAUUGGGACUGAGAUACGGCCCAGACUCCUACGGGAGGCAGCAGUGGGGAAUAUUGCACAAUGGGCGGAAGCCUGAUGCAGCAACGCCGCGUGCGGGAUGACGGCCUUCGGGUUGUAAACCGCUUUCGCCUGUGACGAAGCGUGAGUGACGGUAAUGGGUAAAGAAGCACCGGCUAACUACGUG